rnacentral:rRNA from 1 species
GAUGAACGCUGGCGGCAGGCUUAAUACAUGCAAGUCGAACGGUAACAUGUCGGAGCAAUCUGAUGAUGACGAGUGGCGCACGGGUGCGUAACGCGUAUGCAACCUACCCAUAACCGGAACAUAACGUUGAGAAAUCGGCGCUAAUAUUCCAUGUGUAUAUUUUGUGGCAUCAUAGGAUAUAUAAAGAUUAAUUGGUUAUGGAUGGGCAUGCGUAUCAUUAGCUAGUUGGUAGGGUAACGGCCUACCAAGGCUGCGAUGAUUAGGGGUUCUGAGAGGAUAACCCCCCAACUGGAACUGAGACACGGUCCAGACUCCUACGGGAGGCAGCAGUAGGGAAUAUUGGGCAAUGGAGGCAACUCUGACCCAGCCAUGCCGCGUGAAGGAAACGGUCCUAUGGAUUGUAAACUUCUUUUAUCAUAGAGUAACCGCAGGGACUGUCCCUGCCUGCAAGUAUAUGAUGAAUAAGCAUCGG